UAGAGUUUGAUCCUGGCUCAGAUUGAACGCUGGCGGCAGGCCUAACACAUGCAAGUCGAGCGGUAACAUUUCUAGCUUGCUAGAAGAUGACGAGCGGCGGACGGGUGAGUAAUGCUUGGGAACAUGCCUUUAGGUGGGGGACAACCAUUGGAAACGAUGGCUAAUACCGCAUAAUGUCUACGGACCAAAGGGGGCUUCGGCUCUCGCCUUUAGAUUGGCCCAAGUGGGAUUAGCUAGUUGGUGAGGUAAUGGCUCACCAAGGCAACGAUCCCUAGCUGGUUUGAGAGGAUGAUCAGCCACACUGGAACUGAGACACGGUCCAGACUCCUACGGGAGGCAGCAGUGGGGAAUAUUGCACAAUGGGCGCAAGCCUGAUGCAGCCAUGCCGCGUGUGUGAAGAAGGCCUUCGGGUUGUAAAGCACUUUCAGUUGUGAGGAAAGGUUAGUAGUUAAUACCUGCUAGCUGGACGUACA
rnacentral:rRNA from 1 species